rnacentral:rRNA from 1 species
GACAGAGGUCCCGAGCGUUAGGCGGAAUCACUGGGCUUAAAGCGUGUGUAGGCGGACUUGUAAGUACCUUGUGAAAUCCCACGGCUUAACCGUGGAACUGCUCGGUAUACUGCGAGUCUUGAGCCACUUAGGGGCUACCGGAACAAAUGGUGGAGCGGUGAGAUGCGUAGAUAUCAUUUGGAACGCCAAUGGUGAAAACAGGUAGCUGGGAGUGUGCUGACGCUGAGACACGAAAGCCAGGGGAGCAAACGGG